GGAUGGGUGACCUCCCGGG
rnacentral:snRNA from 1 species